CACAGAUCCUUAUGCACAUCUUCUGCACCUACCUUGACUCCAGACUGCCACCUAGCCCCAAGUAUCCCAAUGGCAAAACCUUCACUUCCCAGUACUUCAUCCGGACAACAGAUAAACCAGACAUGACAAAUGAAAACCUGUUUUGCAUCUACCAGAGCAACAUCAACCCACCCCACUAUGAGCUGAUCUAUCACGGCCACGUCUACAACCUGCCCCAGGUAGGAGCAUGUUGGAAUGGUUCUGCUGUCAGGAAAUCUUCAGCAGACCUGAUUUG